UCAAUUUUCACUCUUAUACGAUCAACCCCUAUUUUUCCAUCCCGAUUAAUAUUUUUUUUAUUCUAUGCACUGAUCCGCAAUAAGGUUGCAAGAUGGCAAUCAAAUAUUAUAAUUGUAGUACGAUAAAUUCUUAUUCAGAGUUUAUAAUUUCAAGUUCCUUUAAUUUAUGUUUUUUAAAUUGAAUUUGAUCUCCCGCCCUCGCCGGUCGACUACUGAUCAACUAUCAAUCGAUCAGCUAUCCCCGCCAGGUGUCGCCAGGAUGAAGACGAAGCCGGUCUCCUGUCUUACUUACUCACUAUACAUCAUAGAUUAUACACUUAAUAUAUUUGAGAGCUAUACAAUACUAUACAUUUUUCAGCUGUUUUUUUGGUUUUAUUUGUGUAUAAAUAGUAUGUUCAGUAGGUCUGAGAAUCGGCUACUAUCUAUUUUUCAUACCCCUAAGUGAAAAGGGUUGUCCACCCCAAACAUUUAUUUUUUAUUUUAAUUUUUUGGAUAUAUUUUUUUUGUUUAUAAUGAGGUAUUAUGUUUUUUUUUUCUACAGUAGAAUUUCCCUAGAAAUCUUAUUUAAGGCAACACAACGUUUGCCGGGUCAGCUAGUACUAUAUAUAAAACUUCAUUUAAAGCCAAUAAGUGUUUGCGAAAGACUUCCACGAUGACAGAAUAACAUCCGUGUUAUAAAAACCAAACCCGAAUUAAGUGUUAAGUGAUGUGAUCAUGUUUACUGAUUUAAUAUCAGCCUUGCGAUUCUCUAAAAUUCAAACAAGAACUCGCAUCUCACUACGAAAUUCUCCAUCACUUCGCAUUCGCAAUAGAAUGACCUUGAUUUGGCAUUCUGUAAACACUAAUCUUAAUUACCCUGCCUCGAGCGAAGUGAAGUGACAACGAAGUUUGUUUAUAAUAUACUAGGGAUAGCCGUAUACGCGCAAAUGUAAAUCGAAGCUUACCGGUUUCAGUUUUUCGUUGUAUUUAUAAGCAUUCUGUAAGAAAAUACUAUGAAUUUAAGCUUUGGUGUCUAAGCCACAUCUAAUAUAUCUAAAAAGAAAAUUAAAAGUCAUAUAUUUAUGAAAUUAAUUGUAAUUUCUGGAUGUACGCUAAGUUCCUUUGCGUGCACUGGCGAAUACCAGAAUUAAAAAACAAAAUUUUGUUUUCAAAACAAUCUCAAGCAGUCGGAAGUUUUUAUUUUGCUUUUUCUAGAGUUUUUGUUACUUUGUGAGUGAAUUUAACGUUAAGUAAAAAUUAUGAGACUUAACGAGCGUUCUUCUCAUCCGACAUUGGUGCAAAUAGAGGCAUUGAUAGACGUUUUGGAUUAAAAGCUAGCGAAACAAAAGGUUUAAUCGUAUCUCAACAUGUUCAAUAAGAGAACAAGGAUAUUAAAAAAAUAUAGGAAUUAAAUUCUCUUGUCAGAUAUGAUCCAUUCCCGGUGAGAUAUUUAGGACAUGUUAACAUCUAUUUAUGUAUGAUAAAUCUAUCUACUACGUUUUUAUUGAUAUUCUAUUUUAACAGGGAAUAUCGGUAAUUUAUCUGUAUCUCAAAUUCACCAACAAAAAAAAUAUAUAUUGAAUUAAAUAAAUCAAAUCAUUAACAAUUUAGGCAUUGCAAGUUGGAUUGAUGUUGUUGGAAUGUUUUUAUUGAUGCAGAGGUGACUGUAUUUAUGGUAAAGGGUGUGCAUAUUGGUACAGGGGUGGCAGGCAGUUCCAGAGUAUUGACUAAACUGACAUUAUGUAGGUUAAAGGCUGCAUACUCCGUUUAAAAUAAAUGAACAAAAUUUAGGCAUAACCUAUUUUAUUAUAUUUAAGGAACUACAACAGAUUGAAAAUACUAAUCCACAUCAUCAGAAUAUUGUAAGGAGAAUUUAUUGCCAACUCGGAAAAUGUAUCAGUAUUGGAACAAUCCCAAACAUACAGCAUUGCAUCAAGAAUCACCUAUUUUGCAGUCAUCCUCCCCUAACUAAAUGCAAGUGACUUCUACUUAUUGUGAUGCUACUACUAGUAGCUCCAGCCACAGUAGGUCUCAUGUUAGUCAAGAGAUUGGCUUGUUAGCACCUCAAUACCUGACCUGCUAUUUCACCACUUUUCAAUGAAAAGCAGAGUGUACUCAAAUUACAACAAAUUACACAGUACCAGGAUAUAUAACUUAAACAACCAUGGGGGAAUAAAUAGUCGACAGUCUGCAAGAAGGAUGAACUGUUGGUGGAAUUAGCAUAUGCAGCUAGGAAUUUUAAACCUGUAUUUCCACAUAUUACUGAUGCAAACAAAUUUCAAAAUUAUUGUAUAUAACUAUUGAAUAAAACUAUUUUUAUAAAUCAUUAA